rnacentral:rRNA from 1 species
GUAGUCCACGCCGUAAACGAUGGAUACUCGCUGUAGGCGAUACACAGUCUGCGGCUUAGCGAAAGCGUUAAGUAUCCCACCUGGGGAGUACGCCGGCAACGGUGAAACUCAAAGGAAUUGACGGGGGCCCGCACAAGUGGUGGAGCAUGUGGUUUAAUUCGAUGAUACGCGAGGAACCUUACCGAGGCUAGAAUGCGCGUGACCGGUUCAGAGAUGGACCUUUCCUUCGGGACACAAAGCAAGGUGCUGCAUGGCCGUCGUCAGCUCGUGCCGUGAGGUGUUGGGUUAAGUCCCGCAACGAGCGCAACCCCUAUGUUUAGUUGCCAGCACAUUAUGGUGGGGACUCUAAACAGACUGCCUGUGCAAACAGCGA